UUUUUAUGACUAUCAUGCUGAUGCAAAUUAGUGAUGGCAUGCACUAUAUUAUAAAUUGUUAUAACAAGGAAACUAUAACACCGUGGGAAAUAUAAGUGAACAAGAUGAGGAGAGAGGCCCAUGUCAUGGAAGAAGAAUUAAUCCUAGAUCACGAACAUGCAUACUUGCUUUAGUGAUAGCAGAGACUUCAAUCAAAUUGCAAGGUCUCUCGCCGGUGGCAGUGCGUGCACCUCCCGCCUCCAUGGCCGGCUGCCACGAGGUCGUCUAGAUGCAUUCGCGGCCGAGCGAUGGAUCCUAGACCAAGCAAUGUGCCGAUGGACGAGAUUCCUGCAGCUUGUGGUCAACCAGUGUCUCUGCUCUACGACUACAAAAUGAAAUAGUUGUCUUUAUAAAAGUCUCUUUUGCUGUGUUGGUUGUAACUGGCUAUCUUGUGGAUGCCGGUGUGUGAGUGCAAGCUCAAGAACUGAGCUAUCAGUGUAAAUUUGACCUAUACCAACCAACAAAUAUAUACAAUAAUUUUGCAAAAACCUUGAUGUCAAAUACUAACCGGUGAACUUCAGAACUGAUGUGAUCUUGAGCAGAAUAGAGUUUUGUUGUGGAUAAAACCACUUCACUCUUUCAGGUUUUCACCCACCUUGAACAUAAUAAGUAACUCCGAAAUGGGUGACUAGUUAUUUCAAAAACGAACAAAAGACUAUGCAUAUUAGAACGAACAUGUCAACUAAAUUCCUCAGCUCAGAUACACAUCUGAACGAGCUCCGGUUGGUGCUAAAAAUCCACACACCAGCAAAAGCCAAGGCCGCCAGAUGCUAUACAAUGUAAUUCUUUUUUGUAAUCAAUACAAUGCCAAAUUGGACUGUGCUACAUCAUUCACCAGGUUACUGAACCUGAUUGGCCAAAGUUACCAAAACGCAUCAUUCACAUGUGAGCGGGUAUGACAUGAACAAGUACAAGAAAAUAAUGUAGAGAUACAGCAUAAAUAAACUAGCUAAUAAAAUUGAGAUGGAACCAUGGAGGACAAAUGUACUAGCUAAUACUCCAUCUCAAUUUGUUUGUUUACCAGGAGAAUUAAUCACCGUGGUGACACCUUGUAUGUUCGCACCACGUCACACUGG
rnacentral:lncRNA from 1 species